rnacentral:rRNA from 1 species
GACGAACGCUGGCGGCGUGCUUAACACAUGCAAGUCGAACGAAGAGCGAUGGAAGCUUGCUUCUAUCAAUCUUAGUGGCGAACGUGUGAGUAACGCGUAAUCAACCUGCCCUUCAGAGGGGGACAACAGUUGGAAACGACUGCUCAUACCGCAUACGAUCUAAUCUCGGCAUCGAGGAUAGAUGAAAGGUGGCCUCUACAUGUAAGCUAUCACUGCAGGAGGGGAUUGCGUCUGAUUAGCUAGUUGGAGGGGUAACGUCCCACCAAGGCGAUGAUCAGUAGCCGGUCUGAGAGGAUGAACGGCAACAUUGGGACUGAGACACGGCCCAGACUCCUACGGGAGGCAGCAGUGGGGAAUCUUCCGCAAUGGACGAAAGUCUGACGGAGCAACGCCGCGUGAGUGAUGACGGCCUUCGGGUUGUAAAGCUCUGUUAAUCGGGACGAAAGGCCUUCUUGCGAAUAGUGAGAAGGAUUGACGGUACCGGAAUAGAAAGCCACGGCUAACUACGUG